rnacentral:rRNA from 1 species
GUUGAUAAGGUUAAGUGAAUAAGGGCGCACGGUGGAUGCCUUGGCACUAGGAGCCGAUGAAGGACGGGACUAACACCGAUAUGCUUUGGGGAGCUGUACGUAAGCUAUGAUCCAGAGAUUUCCGAAUGGGGGAACCCAACAUCUUUAAUAGGAUGUUACGAUUGUGUGAAUACAUAGCACAUUCGAGGUAGACGCAGAGAACUGAAACAUCUAAGUACCUGCAGGAAGAGAAAGAAAAUUCGAUUCCCUGAGUAGCGGCGAGCGAAACGGGAAAAGCCCAAACCAGCAAGCUUGCUUGUUGGGGUUGUAGGACUCCAAUAUGGUAGUUCUUUCAGAUAGUCGAAUGACUUGGAAAAGUCAGUCAAAGAGGGUAAAAACCCCGUAGACGAAAUGUGGAAGACACCUAGGAGGAUCCUGAGUACGGCGGAACACGAGAAAUUCCGUCGGAAUCCGGGAGGACCAUCUCCCAAGGCUAAAUACUCCCUAGUGACCGAUAGUGAACCAGUACCGUGAGGGAAAGGUGAAAAGCACCCCGGAAGGGGAGUGAAAUAGAACCUGAAACCGUGUGCCUACAACAAGUCAAAGCCCGUUAAUGGGUGAUGGCGUGCCUUUUGUAGAAUGAACCGGCGAGUUACGAUUGCAUGCGAGGUUAAGUUGAAGAGACGGAGCCGCAGCGAAAGCGAGUCUGAAUAGGGCGUUUGAGUAUGUAGUCGUAGACCCGAAACCAUGUGAUCUACCCAUGUCCAGGUUGAAGGUGCGGUAAAACGCACUGGAGGACCGAACCCACGUACGUUGAAAAGUGCGGGGAUGAGGUGUGGGUAGCGGAGAAAUUCCAAACGAACUUGGAGAUAGCUGGUUCUCUCCGAAAUAGCUUUAGGGCUAGCCUCGGAAUUGAGAAUGAUGGAGGUAGAGCACUGUUUGGACUAGGGGCCCAUCUCGGGUUACCGAAUUCAGAUAAACUCCGAAUGCCAUUCAUUCAUAUCCGGGAGUCAGACUGUGAGUGAUAAGAUCCAUAGUCGAAAGGGAAACAGCCCAGACCACCAGCUAAGGUCCCAAAAUAUAUGUUAAGUGGAAAAGGAUGUGGGGUUGCACAGACAACUAGGAUGUUGGCUUAGAAGCAGCCACCAUUUAAAGAGUGCGUAAUAGCUCACUAGUCGAGUGACCCUGCGCCGAAAAUGUACCGGGGCUAAACAUAUUACCGAAGCUGUGGAGUACACCUUUAGGUGUAUUGGUAGGAGAGCGUUCUAAGGGCGUUGAAGGCAGAUCGUGAGGACUGCUGGAGCGCUUAGAAGUGAGAAUGCCGGUAUGAGUAGCGAAAGACAGGUGAGAAUCCUGUCCACCGAAUGACUAAGGUUUCCUGGGGAAGGCUCGUCCGCCCAGGGUUAGUCGGGACCUAAGCCGAGGCCGACAGGCGUAGGCGAUGGAUAACAGGUUGAUAUUCCUGUACCCGUUGUUUUUGUUUGAGCAAUGGAGGGACGCAGGAGGCUAAGGAAUGCAGACGAUCGGAAAUGUCUGUCCAAGCAGUAAGUCUGAAGAGGAGU